rnacentral:misc_RNA from 1 species
GAUGAAGAACGCAGCGAAAUGCGAUAAGUAAUGUGAAUUGCAGAAUUCAGUGAAUCAUCGAAUCUUUGAACGCACAUUGCGCCCGCCAGUAUUCUGGCGGGCAUGCCUGUUCGAGCGUCAUUUCAACCCUCAGGCCCCGCCUGGCGUUGGGGAUCGGCGCGGCCCUCUCCGGGCUGCCGGCCCCGAAAACUAGUGGCGGUCUCGCUGUAGUCCUCCUCUGCGCAGUAGCAACGCUCGCACUGGAACUCGGCGCGGCCACGCCGUAAAACACCCCACUUCUGAAAGUUGACCUCGGAUCAGGUAGGAAUACCCGCUGAACUUAAGCAUAUCAAUAAGCGGAGGG